AGCGAACGCUGGCGGCAGGCCUAAUACAUGCAAGUCGAACGGCUCUUCGGAGCAGUGGCGGACGGGUGAGUAACGCGUGGGAACGUGCCCUUUGGUUCGGAACAACACAGGGAAACUUGUGCUAAUACCGAAUGUGCCCUUCGGGGGAAAGAUUUAUCGCCAUUGGAGCGGCCCGCGUUGGAUUAGGUAGUUGGUGGGGUAAAGGCCUACCAAGCCUACGAUCCAUAGCUGGUCUGAGAGGAUGAUCAGCCACACUGGGACUGAGACACGGCCCAGACUCCUACGGGAGGCAGCAGUAGGGAAUCUUGCGCAAUGGGCGAAAGCCUGACGCAGCCAUGCCGCGUGAAUGAUGAAGGUCUUAGGAUUGUAAAAUUCUUUCACCGGGGAAGAUAAUGACGGUACCCGGAGAAGAAGCCCCGGCUAACUUCGUGCCAGCCGCCGCUGUAAAAC
rnacentral:rRNA from 1 species